CCGGACCGGGCUCCCCGGGACCGCCGCGGGGGCCGCGCCCGCGGGGCUCCAUGAUUUUCCCCCGGGCGCUCUCCUGUGCUGUUCUGCUGCUCCUGCUGGUGGCCGUGCUGAGCAGAGGCAGGAGGUGCAGCAUCGCCAAAAUCCUCCGGCAGUACCGCGCCGUCAUCUUCCAUGAGAUCCAGAACCUGAGAAACCUGACUGGGUCGGUGUACAGGAGCAGGAGGGCCGGGCCCGCUUGUCGCUCGGACAAGGACCACAGGAUCCUGCUGUCCAUCUACAACAUCAGCAUGUCCCUGCGGGAGCUGGGGGCCGGCACCCUGCAGGGCCCCGAGGAGCUGGCGGUCUGGAGGGUGGCCAGGAACACCAACUUUGUGCUCCGGGAGAACUGCAGGAAAAUCAGCAAGAGCCCAGCGCGCACCGGCCCGGCACCGCCGCGGCGCGGGGCAGCCGGCCGCAGGAGGAAGCAGCUGCGGGAGAUCGGCAGGAAGGCGGAGAGGCUGGCGACCUGCUGGGAGAAGCUCAAUGCCCUGCACGCCCCCCACCAGGCGCCCUGGGACUCGUAG
rnacentral:lncRNA from 1 species